ACGAAGAGCAGCGAGACGAUCAUGUGGCAAUAAUCCAUAGCAGGCGGCGGAGGGCGGACGGAAGAAGUGAGGGGAAACAGGGCAAGGCUCAGUGCCUAAAGGAAUAGUCCCAAGUCCUCUGCUGACACA